GGGUUGUGAGGUUAAGCGACUAAGCGUACACGGUGGAUGCCCUGGCAGUCAGAGGCGAUGAAGGACGUGCUAAUCUGCGAUAAGCGUCGGUAAGGUGAUAUGAACCGUUAUAACCGGCGAUUUCCGAAUGGGGAAACCCAGUGUGUUUCGACACACUAUCAUUAACUGAAUCCAUAGGUUAAUGAGGCGAACCGGGGGAACUGAAACAUCUAAGUACCCCGAGGAAAAGAAAUCAACCGAGAUUCCCCCAGUAGCGGCGAGCGAACGGGGAGCAGCCCAGAGCCUGAAUCAGUGUGUGUGUUAGUGGAAGCGUCUGGAAAGGCGCGCGAUACAGGGUGACAGCCCCGUACACAAAAAUGCACAUAUUGUGAGCUCGAUGAGUAGGGCGGGACACGUGGUAUCCUGUCUGAAUAUGGGGGGACCAUCCUCCAAGGCUAAAUACUCCUGACUGACCGAUAGUGAACCAGUACCGUGAGGGAAAGGCGAAAAGAACCCCGGCGAGGGGAGUGAAAAAGAACCUGAAACCGUGUACGUACAAGCAGUGGGAGCACGCUUAGGCGUGUGACUGCGUACCUUUUGUAUAAUGGGUCAGCGACUUAUAUUCUGUAGCAAGGUUAACCGAAUAGGGGAGCCGAAGGGAAACCGAGUCUUAACUGGGCGUUAAGUUGCAGGGUAUAGACCCGAAACCCGGUGAUCUAGCCAUGGGCAGGUUGAAGGUUGGGUAACACUAACUGGAGGACCGAACCGACUAAUGUUGAAAAAUUAGCGGAUGACUUGUGGCUGGGGGUGAAAGGCCAAUCAAACCGGGAGAUAGCUGGUUCUCCCCGAAAGCUAUUUAGGUAGCGCCUCGUGAAUUCAUCUCCGGGGGUAGAGCACUGUUUCGGCAAGGGGGUCAUCCCGACUUACCAACCCGAUGCAAACUGCGAAUACCGGAGAAUGUUAUCACGGGAGACACACGGCGGGUGCUAACGUCCGUCGUGAAGAGGGAAACAACCCAGACCGCCAGCUAAGGUCCCAAAGUCAUGGUUAAGUGGGAAACGAUGUGGGAAGGCCCAGACAGCCAGGAUGUUGGCUUAGAAGCAGCCAUCAUUUAAAGAAAGCGUAAUAGCUCACUGGUCGAGUCGGCCUGCGCGGAAGAUGUAACGGGGCUAAACCAUGCACCGAAGCUGCGGCAGCGACACUAUGUGUUGUUGGGUAGGGGAGCGUUCUGUAAGCCUGCGAAGGUGUGCUGUGAGGCAUGCUGGAGGUAUCAGAAGUGCGAAUGCUGACAUAAGUAACGAUAAAGCGGGUGAAAAGCCCGCUCGCCGGAAGACCAAGGGUUCCUGUCCAACGUUAAUCGGGGCAGGGUGAGUCGACCCCUAAGGCGAGGCCGAAAGGCGUAGUCGAUGGGAAACAGGUUAAUAUUCCUGUACUUGGUGUUACUGCGAAGGGGGGACGGAGAAGGCUAUGUUGGCCGGGCGACGGUUGUCCCGGUUUAAGCGUGUAGGCUGGUUUUCCAGGCAAAUCCGGAAAAUCAAGGCUGAGGCGUGAUGACGAGGCACUACGGUGCUGAAGCAACAAAUGCCCUGCUUCCAGGAAAAGCCUCUAAGCAUCAGGUAACAUCAAAUCGUACCCCAAACCGACACAGGUGGUCAGGUAGAGAAUACCAAGGCGCUUGAGAGAACUCGGGUGAAGGAACUAGGCAAAAUGGUGCCGUAACUUCGGGAGAAGGCACGCUGAUAUGUAGGUGAAGUCCCUCGCGGAUGGAGCUGAAAUCAGUCGAAGAUACCAGCUGGCUGCAACUGUUUAUUAAAAACACAGCACUGUGCAAACACGAAAGUGGACGUAUACGGUGUGACGCCUGCCCGGUGCCGGAAGGUUAAUUGAUGGGGUCAGCGCAAGCGAAGCUCUUGAUCGAAGCCCCGGUAAACGGCGGCCGUAACUAUAACGGUCCUAAGGUAGCGAAAUUCCUUGUCGGGUAAGUUCCGACCUGCACGAAUGGCGUAAUGAUGGCCAGGCUGUCUCCACCCGAGACUCAGUGAAAUUGAACUCGCUGUGAAGAUGCAGUGUACCCGCGGCAAGACGGAAAGACCCCGUGAACCUUUACUAUAGCUUGACACUGAACAUUGAGCCUUGAUGUGUAGGAUAGGUGGGAGGCUUGGAAGUGUGGACGCCAGUCUGCAUGGAGCCGACCUUGAAAUACCACCCUUUAAUGUUUGAUGUUCUAACGUUGACCCGUAAUCCGGGUUGCGGACAGUGUCUGGUGGGUAGUUUGACUGGGGCGGUCUCCUCCUAAAGAGUAACGGAGGAGCACGAAGGUUGGCUAAUCCUGGUCGGACAUCAGGAGGUUAGUGCAAUGGCAUAAGCCAGCUUGACUGCGAGCGUGACGGCGCGAGCAGGUGCGAAAGCAGGUCAUAGUGAUCCGGUGGUUCUGAAUGGAAGGGCCAUCGCUCAACGGAUAAAAGGUACUCCGGGGAUAACAGGCUGAUACCGCCCAAGAGUUCAUAUCGACGGCGGUGUUUGGCACCUCGAUGUCGGCUCAUCACAUCCUGGGGCUGAAGUAGGUCCCAAGGGUAUGGCUGUUCGCCAUUUAAAGUGGUACGCGAGCUGGGUUUAGAACGUCGUGAGACAGUUCGGUCCCUAUCUGCCGUGGGCGCUGGAGAACUGAGGGGGCUGCUCCUAGUACGAGAGGACCGGAGUGGACGCAUCACUGGUGUUCGGGUUGUCAUGCCAAUGGCACUGCCCGGUAGCUAAAUGCGGAAGAGAUAAGUGCUGAAAGCAUCUAAGCACGAAACUUGCCCCGAGAUGAGUUCUCCCUGACUCCUUGAGAGUCCUGAAGGAACGUUGAAGACGACGACGUUGAUAGGCCGGGUGUGUAAGCGCAGCGAUGCGUUGAGCUAACCGGUACUAAUGAACCGUGAGGCUUAACCUUACAACGCCGAAGGUGUUU
rnacentral:rRNA from 1 species